CCGCGCUGGUGGCGGCGGCGCGUCGUUGCAGUUGCGCCAUCUGUCAGGAGCGGAGCCGGCGAGGAGGGGGCUGCCGCGGGCGAGGAGGAGGGGUCGCCGCGAGCCGAAGGCCUUCGAGACCCGCCCGCCGCCCGGCGGCGAGAGUAGAGGCGAGGUUGUUGUGCGAGCGGCGCGUCCUCUCCCGCCCGGGCGCGCCGCGCUUCUCCCAGCGCACCGAGGACCGCCCGGGCGCACACAAAGCCGCCGCCCGCGCCGCACCGCCCGGCGGCCGCCGCCCGCGCCAGGGAGGGAUUCGGCCGCCGGGCCGGGGACACCCCGGCGCCGCCCCCUCGGUGCUCUCGGAAGGCCCACCGGCUCCCGGGCCCGCCGGGGACCCCCCGGAGCCGCCUCGGCCGCGCCGGAGGAGGGCGGGGAGAGGACCAUGUGAGUGGGCUCCGGAGCCUCAGCGCCGCGCAGUUUUUUUGAAGAAGCAGGAUGCUGAUCUAAACGUGGAAAAAGACCAGUCCUGCCUCUGUUGUAGAAGACAUGUGGUGUAUAUAAAGUUUGUGAUCGUUGGCGGACAUUUUGGUAAGUGUUGCUGCAUUUACUUCUAAUGCCUCUUGCUGUAAAAGGGUGCUCACGAAGGGAAGCUGUUGCCUUGUUCUGUCCAUCUUUUACUUCUGCACUAAACUCAGGCAGAAUGGAGUUCUAUAAUUAAAUGUGACAUUGAAUUGAUGUUUUCUGACAGUGUGAUACUUUUUCUUGUUAUUGCUGAUAGUAUUAAGCAAUAUGGGGUUUUCUAAAACGUAAUAAGUGUAUAUUUAGAAAAGUUUCCGGAUGCCGGUUAAAGAAUACCCUUGGCAGUUUAUGUGCUAAGCCAGCCAUAUAAUAUAAGAGUAAUAAACUUGC
rnacentral:lncRNA from 1 species